rnacentral:rRNA from 1 species
GGGUUGUGAGGUUAAGCGACUAAGCGUACACGGUGGAUGCCCUGGCAGUCAGAGGCGAUGAAGGACGUGCUAAUCUGCGAUAAGCGUCGGUAAGGUGAUAUGAACCGUUAUAACCGGCGAUUUCCGAAUGGGGAAACCCAGUGUGUUUCGACACACUAUCAUUAACUGAAUCCAUAGGUUAAUGAGGCGAACCGGGGGAACUGAAACAUCUAAGUACCCCGAGGAAAAGAAAUCAACCGAGAUUCCCCCAGUAGCGGCGAGCGAACGGGGAGCAGCCCAGAGCCUGAAUCAGUGUGUGUGUUAGUGGAAGCGUCUGGAAAGGCGCGCGAUACAGGGUGACAGCCCCGUACACAAAAAUGCACAUGCUGUGAGCUCGAUGAGUAGGGCGGGACACGUGGUAUCCUGUCUGAAUAUGGGGGGACCAUCCUCCAAGGCUAAAUACUCCUGACUGACCGAUAGUGAACCAGUACCGUGAGGGAAAGGCGAAAAGAACCCCGGCGAGGGGAGUGAAAAAGAACCUGAAACCGUGUACGUACAAGCAGUGGGAGCCUCUUUAUGGGGUGACUGCGUACCUUUUGUAUAAUGGGUCAGCGACUUAUAUUCUGUAGCAAGGUUAACCGAAUAGGGGAGCCGAAGGGAAACCGAGUCUUAACUGGGCGUUAAGUUGCAGGGUAUAGACCCGAAACCCGGUGAUCUAGCCAUGGGCAGGUUGAAGGUUGGGUAACACUAACUGGAGGACCGAACCGACUAAUGUUGAAAAAUUAGCGGAUGACUUGUGGCUGGGGGUGAAAGGCCAAUCAAACCGGGAGAUAGCUGGUUCUCCCCGAAAGCUAUUUAGGUAGCGCCUCGUGAAUUCAUCUCCGGGGGUAGAGCACUGUUUCGGCAAGGGGGUCAUCCCGACUUACCAACCCGAUGCAAACUGCGAAUACCGGAGAAUGUUAUCACGGGAGACACACGGCGGGUGCUAACGUCCGUCGUGAAGAGGGAAACAACCCAGACCGCCAGCUAAGGUCCCAAAGUCAUGGUUAAGUGGGAAACGAUGUGGGAAGGCCCAGACAGCCAGGAUGUUGGCUUAGAAGCAGCCAUCAUUUAAAGAAAGCGUAAUAGCUCACUGGUCGAGUCGGCCUGCGCGGAAGAUGUAACGGGGCUAAACCAUGCACCGAAGCUGCGGCAGCGACGCUUAUGCGUUGUUGGGUAGGGGAGCGUUCUGUAAGCCUGUGAAGGUGUGCUGUGAGGCAUGCUGGAGGUAUCAGAAGUGCGAAUGCUGACAUAAGUAACGAUAAAGCGGGUGAAAAGCCCGCUCGCCGGAAGACCAAGGGUUCCUGUCCAACGUUAAUCGGGGCAGGGUGAGUCGACCCCUAAGGCGAGGCCGAAAGGCGUAGUCGAUGGGAAACAGGUUAAUAUUCCUGUACUUGGUGUUACUGCGAAGGGGGGACGGAGAAGGCUAUGUUGGCCGGGCGACGGUUGUCCCGGUUUAAGCGUGUAGGCUGGUUUUCCAGGCAAAUCCGGAAAAUCAAGGCUGAGGCGUGAUGACGAGGCACUACGGUGCUGAAGCAACAAAUGCCCUGCUUCCAGGAAAAGCCUCUAAGCAUCAGGUAACAUCAAAUCGUACCCCAAACCGACACAGGUGGUCAGGUAGAGAAUACCAAGGCGCUUGAGAGAACUCGGGUGAAGGAACUAGGCAAAAUGGUGCCGUAACUUCGGGAGAAGGCACGCUGAUAUGUAGGUGAAGUCCCUCGCGGAUGGAGCUGAAAUCAGUCGAAGAUACCAGCUGGCUGCAACUGUUUAUUAAAAACACAGCACUGUGCAAACACGAAAGUGGACGUAUACGGUGUGACGCCUGCCCGGUGCCGGAAGGUUAAUUGAUGGGGUCAGCGCAAGCGAAGCUCUUGAUCGAAGCCCCGGUAAACGGCGGCCGUAACUAUAACGGUCCUAAGGUAGCGAAAUUCCUUGUCGGGUAAGUUCCGACCUGCACGAAUGGCGUAAUGAUGGCCAGGCUGUCUCCACCCGAGACUCAGUGAAAUUGAACUCGCUGUGAAGAUGCAGUGUACCCGCGGCAAGACGGAAAGACCCCGUGAACCUUUACUAUAGCUUGACACUGAACAUUGAGCCUUGAUGUGUAGGAUAGGUGGGAGGCUUAGAAGUGUGGACGCCAGUCUGCAUGGAGCCGACCUUGAAAUACCACCCUUUAAUGUUUGAUGUUCUAACGUUGACCCGUAAUCCGGGUUGCGGACAGUGUCUGGUGGGUAGUUUGACUGGGGCGGUCUCCUCCUAAAGAGUAACGGAGGAGCACGAAGGUUGGCUAAUCCUGGUCGGACAUCAGGAGGUUAGUGCAAUGGCAUAAGCCAGCUUGACUGCGAGCGUGACGGCGCGAGCAGGUGCGAAAGCAGGUCAUAGUGAUCCGGUGGUUCUGAAUGGAAGGGCCAUCGCUCAACGGAUAAAAGGUACUCCGGGGAUAACAGGCUGAUACCGCCCAAGAGUUCAUAUCGACGGCGGUGUUUGGCACCUCGAUGUCGGCUCAUCACAUCCUGGGGCUGAAGUAGGUCCCAAGGGUAUGGCUGUUCGCCAUUUAAAGUGGUACGCGAGCUGGGUUUAGAACGUCGUGAGACAGUUCGGUCCCUAUCUGCCGUGGGCGCUGGAGAACUGAGGGGGGCUGCUCCUAGUACGAGAGGACCGGAGUGGACGCAUCACUGGUGUUCGGGUUGUCAUGCCAAUGGCACUGCCCGGUAGCUAAAUGCGGAAGAGAUAAGUGCUGAAAGCAUCUAAGCACGAAACUUGCCCCGAGAUGAGUUCUCCCUGACUCCUUGAGAGUCCUGAAGGAACGUUGAAGACGACGACGUUGAUAGGCCGGGUGUGUAAGCGCAGCGAUGCGUUGAGCUAACCGGUACUAAUGAACCGUGAGGCUUAACCUUACAACGCCGAAGCUGUU